rnacentral:lncRNA from 1 species
CCCCUCCGUAAAACAUUCAGUAUGCCUUCGGAAUAUACAAAUAUUAAGGUAUUGUCAAGAAUUUCAAUAACGGCCGGGAAACAGACUAGUUGUUAACCUUCUAUGAUUAUUAAAGAAUGACGGAUGUUUUAUUUCGGUACGUCUAAACACUGCUAAGAAUUCCUUGGUGCACUAAGGCCUUGACUAUACAAUGCCACUAAGGACUAAAAGGAGUGCUGUUAUAUGUAUUAUUUUUAUAUAUAUCAUUCUAGAGAUUGAUAUUUAAUGCUUAAAUUUCAAAUUUUACAGAAAAAAAUCAUAAAUAAACGAGAUAUUCAACAUUAUUUAGACACGUGCCGGUUUUUCUUUGAUAUGCCGAAAAUCAAUGAACCGAUUGACACGUGCCAAAUAACAUAACAACUGAUUAAACAAUCACGAUCUUUUUAUUUUAAGUAAUUUAAAACAAUUGUAUCGAAAAGAUUUAUGCUUCAAAUAUUUAUAAUUAUAUGUGUUGUUCUUAUUCAAAAUGAUAAAAAGGACAAAUAAUUUUGCUGUUGUUUUAUUUCUUUCCCAACAAAAUUGUUUGCCAUAGGAGCACGACUUUGAUGUGCGCUAACUUAUAAGUAAGAGUUUGGUCAGCUUGUUAAAAUGUUUAUGUAAGAUAUACGAAGACAAAAGGAAUAUAUAUAUUUAUA